rnacentral:rRNA from 1 species
AGCCAGACUCCUACGGGAGGCAGCAGUGGGGAAUAUUGCACAAUGGGGGAAACCCUGAUGCAGCGACGCCGCGUGAGUGAAGAGGUAUUUCGGUAUGUAAAGCUCUAUCAGCAGGGAAGAAAAUGACGGUACCUGAUUAAGAAGCCCCGGCUAACUACGUGCCAGCAGCCGCGGUAAUACGUAGGGGGCAAGCGUUAUCCGGAUUUACUGGGUGUAAAGGGAGCGUAGACGGUGAUGCAAGUCAGAAGUGAAAGCCCGGGGCUCAACUCCGGGACUGCUUUUGAAACUGUGUGACUGGAGUGCAGGAGAGGUAAGCGGAAUUCCUGGUGUAGCGGUGAAAUGCGUAGAUAUCAGGAGGAACACCAGUGGCGAAGGCGGCUUACUGGACUGUAACUGACGUUGAGGCUCGAAAGCGUGGGGAGCAAACAGGAUUAGAUACCCGAGUA